rnacentral:rRNA from 1 species
CACGGACCGCACGAACGUUAUUCGGUAUCACUGGGCUUAAAGGGUGCGUAGGCGGCUUUGCAAGUUGGGUGUGAAAGCCCUCGGCUCAACCGAGGAAUUGCGCUCAAUACUGCCGAGCUCGAGAGAGACAGAGGUAAGCGGAACUAAUGGUGGAGCGGUGAAAUGCGUUGAUAUCAUUAGGAACACCGGUGGCGAAGGCGGCUUACUGGAUCGUUUCUGACGCUGAGGCACGAAAGCCAGGGGAGCGAACGGG